GAGUUUGAUCCUGGCUCAGGAUGAACGCUAGCUAUAGGCUUAACACAUGCAAGUCGAGGGGCAGCGAGGGUGAAGUUUUCUUUACCUGUCGGCGACCGGCGCACGGGUGCGUAACGCGUAUCCAAUCUACCCAUUACUCUAGGAUAGCCUUGCGAAAGUAAGAUUAAUACUGGAUGGUCUUAUUAGUCUGCCUGGACUUUUAAGUAAAGAUUUAUUGGUAAUGGAUGAGGAUGCGUCCCAUUAGCUUGUUGGCGGGGUAAUGGCCCACCAAGGCUUCGAUGGGUAGGGGUUCUGAGAGGAAGAUCCCCCACACUGGAACUGAGACACGGUCCAGACUCCUACGGGAGGCAGCAGUGAGGAAUAUUGGUCAAUGGACGGAAGUCUGAACCAGCCAAGUAGCGUGCAGGAUGACGGCCUUCUGGGUUGUAAACUGCUUUUAUAUGAGAGUAAAGUCGGCCACGUGUGGCUGUUUGCAAGUAUCAUAAGAAAAAGGACCGGCUAAUUCCGUGCCAGCAGCCGCGGUAAUACGGAAGGUUCGGGCGUUAUCCGGAUUUAUUGGGUUUAAAGGGAGCGUAGGCGGGAUAUUAAGUCAGUUGUGAAAGUUUGGGGCUCAACCUUAAAAUUGCAGUUGAUACUGAUAUUCUUGAGUGCACAUAAGGAUGGUGGAAUUCGUGGUGUAGCGGUGAAAUGCUUAGAUAUCACGAAGAACUCCUAUUGCGAAGGCAGCUGUCUGGGGUGUAACUGACGCUGAGGCUCGAAAGUGUGGGUAUCAAACAGGAUUAGAUACCCUGGUAGUCCACACUGUAAACGUUGAAUACUCGCUUUUGGCGAUAUAUUGCCAGAGGCCUAGCGAAAGCAUUAAGUAUUCCACCUGGGGAGUACGCCGGCAACGGUGAAACUCAAAGGAAUUGACGGGGGCCCGCACAAGCGGAGGAACAUGUGGUUUAAUUCGAUGAUACGCGAGGAACCUUACCCGGGCUUGAACUGCAGGGGCUGGAGCCAGAGAUGGUUCUUUUCUUCGGACUCCUGUGGAGGUGCUGCAUGGUUGUCGUCAGCUCGUGCCGUGAGGUGUCGGCUUAAGUGCCAUAACGAGCGCAACCCUUUUCCUUGGUUGCCAUCAGGUGAUGCUGGGCACUCUAGGGAUACUGCCAUCGUAAGAUGUGAGGAAGGUGGGGAUGACGUCAAAUCAGCACGGCCCUUACGUCCGGGGCUACACACGUGUUACAAUGGCCGGUACAGAGAGUUGCUUGCCCGCGAGGGUUGGCUAAUCUUUUAAAUCCGGUCUCAGUUCGGAUUGGAGUCUGCAACCCGACUCCAUGAAGCUGGAUUCGCUAGUAAUCGCGCAUCAGCCAUGGCGCGGUGAAUACGUUCCCGGGCCUUGUACACACCGCCCGUCAAGCCAUGAAAGCUGGGGGUGCCUGAAAGCUGUUUCCGUGAGGGUCGGCCUAGGGUAAAACUAGUAAUUGGGGCUAAGUCGUAACAAGGU
rnacentral:rRNA from 1 species